UCCGGCUUGUCACCGGCGGUCUCGUCAGAGUGCCCAGCUUAACCUGAUGGCAACAGACGAUGAGGGUUGCGCUCGUUGCGGGACUUAACCCAACAUCUCACGACACGAGCUGACGACAGCCAUGCAGCACCUGUAUCCUCCCCGGCCGAACCGAAGGCAACCAUCUCUGGAAGCCAAAAGAGGUAUGUCAAGAGUGGGUAAGGUUCUUCGCGUAGCUUCGAAUUGAACAACAUGCUCCACCGCUUGUGCGGGUCCCCGUCAAUUCCUUUGAGUUUUAACCUUGCGGCCGUACUCCCCAGGCGGUGUGCUUAACGCUUUCGCUUUGUCACCGAGACCGUGAGGUCCCGACAACGAGCACACAUCGUUUACGGCGUGGACUAC
rnacentral:misc_RNA from 1 species